GUUGUUCCCUUAUUUGUUACUUACUUAGCAGAACCUUCCUCUCUCUACUUUUGAUUCACUCUCUGUUUACGGCAGAACCUCUAUGCUCUUAAUUGCUUUCUCCAUUUUCGUAGAGUACUUUUGUGCCCUCUCUUUUAAAACUAGUAGAACCUCCCCUCCUUUUCUGAAUUUCUCCUCACUUCUCUCAAUUUUUACAAGGCUUCUCCACUCUCCUUUUUUGGGAUCCCCUGCUAUAGUGCUGGUAUUCCCUAUUUAUAGGGAGUCUGGGGGGGGGGGGUGCUUUUGGCGCCAAUUCACUAAUCCUCUAACCAAUUUCCCCAUAACGGAAGGAAUAUUACUUUCUAGGUGGCUCUUGCCAGGUGUCCUACUGAGACUUCAGGAAUGGAGGGCAUUUUGAGUGCACUUCCACAUGCCCUCCGAGGAUAGGAGGGUUUGGUAACUUUAUUUUUUUGUUUUUGCAUUUUCUUUCUCUAAUACCACUGAUUAUUAUUCUUUCUUUUCCAUGCAGGUGGAUUGGAUGAUCCAGUUGGCGGUUGGAGAGUGGGGCAUUUUCAUUUUUUGUACUUUUAUUCAUUUUUUUUUUUGUAAUUUUUUUGUACCCCUGGUUUUCCUGCAACUAUUAUGUGCAACCCCCUUUAUUUUGUACUUCUCCCUUUUCCUAUGUAACUUUUUAUUGUUUGCCCAUGUAUGUACCUCAAUGAGGGCACCUGCCCAUCCUAAUGUAUGAUUUCACAUUUUAAUUUUGACCUGAUA